AGGGUCAGCUAAACAAAAGCUAUCGGGCCCAUACCCCGAAAAUGAUGGUUUAACCCCUUCCUCUACUAAAUGAGCCCCCUCACAAAACUAACAUUCUCCUUAAGCCUUCUACUAGGAACAACCAUCACAAUUUCAAGCAACCACUGAAUACUAGCCUGGACUGGACUAGAAAUCAACACCCUUGCCAUUAUCCCCUUCAUUUCAAAAUCACACCACCCUCGAGCUAUCGAAGCUGCAAUCAAAUACUUUCUCAUCCAAGCAACCGCCUCCGCAUUAAUCCCCUUCUCAAGCACAAUCAACACACAAUUCACCGGACAAUGAGACAUUACCCGACUAACCCACCCAACAGCCUCCCUACUACUAACUACAGCAAUCGCAAUAAAACUAGGCCUAGUACCCUUUCACUUCUGAUUUCCAGAGGUCAUACAAGGCUCACCUAUAACCACUGCCCUACUCCUCUCUACAUUAAUAAAACUCCCCCCCAUCACUAUUCUUUUCUUAACUGCCCCCUCACUGAACCCACUCCUACUGACAACCAUGGCCAUUGCAUCCGCAGCCAUCGGAGGGUGAAUAGGACUUAACCAAACACAAAUCCGAAAAGUCCUAGCUUUCUCAUCAAUCGCCCACCUAGGCUGAAUAACCAUCAUCCUCAUAUACAACCCCAAGCUAACAUUAAUAACCUUCUACCUAUACUCCAUAAUAACCGCCUCCAUUUUCUUAGCCCUCAACACAACCAACUCAUCAAAACUAUCCACAAUAAUAACCUCCUGAACAAAAAUACCAUCACUAAACGCAUCCUUGAUGCUAGCACUACUAUCCCUAGCCGGCCUACCCCCACUCACUGGCUUUUUACCAAAAUGACUCAUUAUCCAGGAACUAACUAAGCAAGAGAUAUCAACCGCAGCCAUAAUUAUUUCAAUACUCUCCCUACUAGGUUUAUUUUUCUACCUACACCUUGCAUAUUGCUCCACAAUCACACUCCCACCAAACACUACAAACUUCAUAAAACAAUGAUACAAUAACAAAUCCACAGGCACACCAAUUGCUACCUUAAUUUCCCUGUUAGUCCUCCUUCUCCCCCUUUCUCCCGUGAUCUUGACCAUUACCUAAGAAACUUAGGAUACCCUGCCUACCAAACCGAAGGCCUUCAAAGCCUUAAAUAAGAUUAAAUCCUCUUAGUUUCUGCCCACACCACUAAGGCCCGCAGGACACUAAACCUGCACCAUCUAAAUGCAACUCAGAUACUCUAAUUAAGCUAGGGCCUCCACGAUAAGCCUAGACAGAUGGGCCUCGAUCCCAUAAACUUCUAAUUAACAGCUAGACGCUCAAACCAACAAGCUUCUGUCUACCGGACUCCGGCACACUCUCAGUGUACAUCAAUGAGUUUGCAACUCAACAUGAACUUCACCACAGAGUCGAUAAGAGGAAUUCAACCUCUGUAAAAAGGACUACAGCCUAACACCUAAACACUCAGCCAUCUUACCCAUGACCUUCAUCAACCGAUUACUAUUUUCAACAAACCACAAAGACAUUGGUACCCUAUACCUACUCUUCAGAGCAUGGGCAGGCAUAGCCGGUACGGUACCGCCCUCAGCCUCCUUAUUCGAGCAGAACUUGGCCAACCAGGAACUCUCCUAGGAGACGACCAAAUCAUCGUCACCACCCAUGCCUUCGUAAUAAUCUUCUUCAUAGUUAUACCCAUUAUAAUUGGAGGGUUUGGAAACUGACUAGUGCCCCUUAUGAUUGGAGCCCCAGACAUAGCAUUCCCCCGCAUAAACAACAUAAGUUUCUGACUACUUCCUCCGUCCUUCCUACUGCUCCUAGCAUCCUCCGCAGUAGAAGCUGGAGUCGGAACAGGAUGAACCGUAUACCCGCCCCUAGCAGGCAACCUAGCCCAUGCUGGCGCCUCAGUAGACCUAGCCAUCUUCUCCCUACACCUCGCAGGUGUCUCUUCCAUCUUAGGGGCCAUCAACUUUAUCACAACAGCCAUUAACAUAAACUCCCCUGCCUUAUCGCAAUAUCAAACUCCCCUAUUCGUAAGAUCCAUACUCAUCACCGCCGUACUCCUAUUGCUCUCACUUCCAGUCCUGGCUGCCGGUAUCACCAUACUACUGACCGACCAAAACCUAAACACUACAUUCUUUGACCCCGCUGGAGGAGGAGACCCCAUUCUCUACCAGCACCUGUUCUGAUUCUUUGGCCACCCAGAAGUUUACGUCUUAAUCCUUCCCGGCUUUGGAAUCAUCUCACACGUUGUAACGUAUUACGCAGGCAAAAAAGAACCAUUCGGCUACAUAGGAAUAGUCUGAGCUAUACUAUCGAUUGGAUUCCUCGGCUUUAUCGUAUGAGCCCACCACAUAUUCACUGUAGGAAUAGACGUAGACACCCGAGCAUACUUCACCUCUGCCACUAUAAUCAUCGCCAUCCCAACUGGCAUUCAGGUAUUCAGCUGACUGGCCACACUACACGGAGGCACCAUCAAAUGAGGUCCACCGAUACUGUGAGCCUUGGGCUUCAUCUUCCUCUUCACAAUUGGAGGACUAACAGGUAUUGUACUAGCAAACUCCUUAUUAGACAUUGCCUUACACGACACAUACUAUGUAGUCACCCACUUUCAUUACGUCCUCUCAAUAGGAGCUGUAUUUGCCAUCCUCGCUGGAUUUACCCACUGAUUCCCACUAUUUACUGGAUACACCCUCCACCCCACAUGAUCUAAAACCCACUUCGGAAUUAUAUUCACAGGCGUAAACCUAACAUUCUUCCCCCAACAACAACUUCCCUAGGUCUAGCCAGCAUACCACGACGUUACUCAGACUACCCCGACGCCUACACCCUAUGAAACACCCUAUCCUCUAUUGGCUCCCUAAUUUCAAUAACAGCCGUAAUCUUACUAAUAUUCAUCAUCUGAGAGGCAUUUGCAGCAAAACGAAAAGUCCUCCAAACAGAAUUAACAGCUACCAACAUCAAGUGAAUCUAUGGCUGCCCACCCCCCUAUCACACCUUUGAAGAACCAACCUUCGUCCAAACCCAAGAAAGGAAGGAAUCAAACCCUCACACGCUGGUUUCAAGCCAACUGCAUCAAACCACUUAUGCUUCUUUCUUAUGGAGUGUUAGUAAACCCAUUACACAGCUUUGUCAAAGCUAAAUCACAGGUGAAACCCCUGUACACCCCUACCAUGGCCAACCAAUCCCAACUCGGAUUCCAAGACGCCUCCUCACCGAUCAUAGAAGAACUCGUAGAAUUCCACGACCACGCCCUAAUAGUUGCACUCACAAUCUGCAGCCCAGUUCUCUGUUUGCUGACAAUUACACUAGCAGAAAAACUAUCCUCCAACACCGUAGAUGCACAAGAAGUAGAACUCAUCUGAACAAUCCUACCCGCCAUUGUCCUCAUCCUACUCGCCCUACCAUCUCUACAAAUUCUAUACAUAAUAGACGAAAUUGACGAGCCCGAUUUAACUCUGAAAGCCAUCGGACACCAAUGUUAUUGAGCCUACGAAUACACAGACUUCAAAGACCUAAUAUUCGACUCCUACAUAAUCCCAACCACAGAACUCCCUCCAGGGCACUUCCGACUACUAGAAGUAGACCAUCGCAUUGUAAUCCCAAUGGAAUCCCCCAUCCGUAUCAUCAUCACCGCCAACGACGUACUCCACUCAUGGGCUGUCCCAUCCCUGGGGGUAAAGACUGAUGCAAUCCCAGGGCGACUUAACCAAACAUCCUUCAUCACAACCCGACUGGGCAUCUUCUACGACCAAUGCUCAGAGAUCUGUGGAGCCAACCAUAGCUACAUACCAAUCCUGGUAGAAUCAACCCCCCUAGCCCAUUUCGAAUGCUGAUCCACACUCCUAUCAUCCUAAUCAUUGAGAAGCUAUGUACCAGCACUAGCCUUUUAAGCUAGAGAAAGAGGACAACCCACCCCUCCUUAACGACAUGCCCCAACUAAACCCAAAUCCAUGAUUCCUAACCAUGCUUGCCACCUGAACGAUCUUCUCGCUAAUCAUCCAACCUAAACUCCUACCAUUCACCCCCACCAACCACCCCCCAAACAAAACCAACGUCCCUGAUAAAUCCACCCCCUGAACCUGACCAUGAACCUAAGCUUCUUUGACCAAUCCUCAAAUCCCUGUUUAAUAGGCAUACCCUUAGCCCUCCUCUCUAUUCUCUUUCCCACCCUAUUAUUCCCCUGCCCCAACACCCGAUGAAUCAACAACCGCCUCACCACCCUUCAAUUAUGACUAAUUCACCUAAUCACAAAACAACUAAUAAUACCCCUAGACAAAAAGGGCCACAAAUGAGCGCUAAUCCUCACAUCCCUAAUAAUACUACUCCUUACAAUCAACCUCCUAGGCCUACUACCAUACACAUUCACCCCCACUACCCAACAUAAACAUAGCACUAGCCUUCCCACUCUGACUCGCCACCCUCCUCACAGGAUUACGAAACCAACCCACAGUCUCGCUAGGACACCUACUGCCCGAAGGCACCCCCACCCCGCUUAUUCCCGCCUUAAUUAUAAUUGAAACCACAAGCCUACUUACCCGCCCACUAGCACUUGGAGUCCGACUUACAGCAAACCUAACAGCAGGACACCUACUUAUCCAACUCAUUUCCACAGCCACCGCCACCCUUCUUCCCAUCAUACCCGCACUCUC